ACCUGGGAUAGUUCAGUUGGUAGAACAUGAGACUCUUGAUCUCAGAGUCAUGGGUUUGAGCCCCAUAUUGGGCA